CAUAUUGUGCAUUCACUCGACAAGGAGCGGCAGGCAGACGUGGACAACGAGACUUCGAGCAUCAUCUCUAUAUUUUUUUUUUAUUUGUUUUACGAGUUUGCUUCUCUAGUGAAUCAGUUGUCAAAUCUAAAUUCAAGACUCUAGAAUAAGUGAAGUGUAUCAAAGAAUCUCCGUUAAUAAAGUGCAAACCAGUGAAUCUCAAGACCGUGUAUUAGUUAAAGAUUUCCCUUUUACAGCCGAGGGCCAGAUAUGUCUUCGGUGUUCGCCCGUGUCCUUGGGUGUUCGCCCGUGUCCUGAGGUGCAGCUUAUCGUCCCACCAACAUACGCAUUCCUGACCACACAACACUCGGGCGUUUCACCAGUGCAUUCCUCUUGUAUCACGGUGUUUGUUGUGGAAUGAGUGAAUUAUAUAUAUUCUUGUGGCAGAUGUCUUACAGAAUUUUCUUCACAGUAUAGGUUCUCGUACCCUGUGCACUCUUGUUACAGCUUUCGUGAGCGGUAUGGUGGUGGAAUGCUGGUCACCCAAUCAACCUGUUAGUGAUCAUCCCCCGGUCGUGUGGUCAGGUGUUCCCCUCCCCUCCCCCCGCGCUGACCACUCUACACUUGGUUACUCGUUUGUUUUACAUUUAAAAUCUUGGUUAAAUGUUUCUAAGUUUUCAACAUGGUCGUUGGCUAUCAUGCUAUCAUUGGCAAUUGUAUGCUAAAUAUCUGUUGCCAGUCAUCACCAUUAUCAUCUUACACUCUCUCUCACUCCAUGGGCUGUUACCGUCCUGCCCGGGAGGUCUUGCCGGAGUCUACAUAGCAAUGGAAGUCCACUGCGGGUUCUUCCAUCGGCUGGGUUGAGGUAUGGUCGGUAUACUGCUAACACUUAAAACAUUUUUCCUUCCAUCUCAUUCAUUGUUGUUAAGUCUAAACCAUUAUUUUUCCUUUCAUCUCGUUCUUUACAGUUCAUGACUUGUCAUUUAAAAAAAAAAAUUGUAAACCUUAAAUUUGGUGCAUGUUACAAAGUAGAUGUUGCAUAGGCAUAGGACCUAGGUAGGGCCCAGUAAUUAGUAUUUUCAGUCCGCCCCGUUGCGCAUGGUGAUCGGUGUGGAAUUGGUAGCACGUCGAAUACCGCCCAAGAAUUGAACGACAUUGAAUGGCUAGAGGUGAGCAGUGGCUGGGCUACUUUCCCACGGUUAUGGUAGAUUUUACAUGACAAGGUGAGCAGUGACUGGGCUUCGUUCCCCUAGUAAUUCAUUUAUGUGUAGAAAUACAUAAUUUAUCAAGUCCUCCUUUGGUCGUAUACAAUGAACUGUACUUGCGGGAAGUGCCCCAGUAUUCAGGUGGAUUGCAAAGACAUUUUACCUUGAGCUGGGCAAGUGAUCCUUUUCUUUUAUACGAGCAGGAUAUGUUGAGUGCGGAGGGUCUUGAAUGUAUAUCUGUUAGGGCAAAUGUAGUUUAGGGAUGGGGAAAUAAUGGUUCUUACAGACCCCUGAGGAUUUCUUUGACAACAUGAGUACUGCCCAAGAAUUGACGGGGAGUUGGAUGGCUUAGAAGUGAGCAGUGGCUGGGCUUCGUUCCCAGAGUUACGGUAGAUUUUACACAAGGUGAGCAGUGAUUGGGCUUCGUUCCCUUAGUAUGUUAUUUAUCUGUGUAGAAAUACAACUUAUCAAGCCUUUAGUUGUGUAUGUUGUUUACUAAACUAGGCAUGCAGGAAUUGCCCCAGUAUUGUUGAAUUGCAAAGCCUUUUUAGCUAAAGCUGGGCAAGUGACAAUUCUUAUUUACAAGCAGGAUAUACUGGGUGUGGAGGGUCUUGAAUGUAUAUCUUCAUUAGGGCUAAUGUAGUUUAGGGAUGGGGAAAUAAUGGUUCUUGCAGACCCCAGAGGAUUACUUUGGCACCUCGAAUACUGCCCAAGAAAUGACGGGAGUUGAAUGGCUAGAGGUGAGCAGUGGCUGGGCCUCGUUCCCACGGUCACGGUAGAUUUUACAUGACAAGGUGAGCAGUGACUGGGCCUCGUACCCAUGUUAUGUUAUUUACAUGUCAUGCCGAAAAAGUAUCGAACCUUAAUUUAAUUAUGUAUGUUGAACUAGGCUUGCAGGAAGUCCCAAUUUUUUUAGUUCAGUUGCAAAGCCUUUUAAACUGACGCUUAUAAUUCUCAAGCAUGAUAUAUUGGGUGUGGAGGGUUUUUGAAGGCUAUUUACUAGGGUAAAUAUUAUUUAGGGAUGGGCUCUUGCAGACCCCUGAGAAUGGAUGGGAUUUGAGAUGGUGAAAUCCAACUAUUGUAUUUGUGGGAGAUUUGGCUGAGUAUGGUCGGAGGUGGAUGUAUUGACUCUCGUCAACCAAAAGGUAUUAAGGUGUGAUGCAACUUUCAGAAAUUUGCCUAUGAGAAAAGGAUGGAGGUGAAUAAGUGGUAAUUAACACUAGGUGCAGUUGUUUAGUCAGGUUGCAUUGGAACAGGCAAAAUUAGCCCAGCAUGUGUUGGAUAAACAAAGUUUAUUUGACUAAAUCUGGUGCACGGAUCUGCUAUAUGAUUUUAAAAUUACACUUAGGCAAACUAAGCAAUUUUAUGAAAUUGAGAAUAAAGGAUGGUAUUUAGAUAGGAAUUAUAAGUCUGGGGUGGGGAAGUAAUUACUUGCAGGGUCCUGGUGCCUUCGGGAAAACUACAGGUCCGUCUGAUGAAGCAGAGAACAGAAGUGGAUGGGGCAUGAUGCACUGGCAUGGGGGGAAAAGGAUGAAUUGACGAGACAGUUAAAUCCGGAUCGGUCGAAUAAUGAACCAGGAUCGUUUUUUUUGGAACUGGCUUGUGUCAAGCUUCACAUCCUCUAACAGGUAAUUGGUUAGAUGUGCUUAUCAUUGAGGGUAGCAUACCGAGGGGAAUAAGGUGGGUUAUAUAUAUUUUUACAGUGUAGCUACAUAGAGUAGCAAUUUAAUACUUAUGCUAGAGGCUAGAAACAGGUCAAAAAAAUUUGCUGCACGCUUGCAGCAGCAGGGUGGGUGAGUCGAAGCACCCCCUUGCAUAUGCCCUUAUUGAUUGAUUGCAGCAGGAAAGCAAAGCCUAUCCUGUACCUGGAGCAUGACAGUUCUCAUGAGACUGGUAGGCCUAACAUGUUAAAUGGAGCCCAAAGAGGAAGAUGAGGAAAGUGGAACUAAGGAAGUGGGAUGCUUUAAGGUUUAAGGAAAGGGUGGGGAAAAUAAACUACUUGCAGAAUCCUGAAACAAUCGAAGCUACGGAUUAAGACCACUGAAAGAUGAAGUGGUUGAGGUGAGGCGUUGAUUGAACCACACUAGACUGAUGACAAAUACUGCCGAUUGAUGUCCAAUUUAACCGCGUACAAGUUGUGGGUGCAUCUGGUCGAGUGUCACUUCUGUAAACAGGUACUUGUCCACAUGCAAUACCAGUAAAUUGGUGAACUUAACUUUUAUCACUAAUUCAAUUUGUUGGCAUGAGUGGCAGAAUUUGCCCAGUGCAUACAGUUGGAGUGCUAAAUCUCUCCCACUUGGGUACAAUUACAUUCUCACCUGAAGGAGUCUUUAUACAAGAGACAUUGUGGUUUGUAAGAUAAAUGAUUUUUGUAAGGGUUUAUAGGGACAGGAGGGGUAACAGUACUUGCAGGGUCCUGAAGACUUCACAGAGGCCACAGUCCUUAGGUGAGCGUUGCUGUGUUCGCUGAAUGGCAGUUUGCAAGUUGGUUGAUCUUUGAAAGCGCAAGGAUUUGUGACUGGCUGGCCUCACAGGUAUUUAUUUCUGAGAUUGAUGGCAGUAUUCCAUAUUAGCUUUGUCAUUUAGAAUUUACAUUUAAAGAGCAUAUUGUGGUUUAUGUCUGUACAGUACAUUGCAGAGCACAUAUUGUUCUAAUGGCUUCAGUACUGCCUCAGCAUGAAAUUUAAGAUAUUAGUUGGACCUUAAAAGUUACAGUGCUUUUAAUGGACCAGUUGGACCUUAAAAGUUACAAUGCUUUUAAUGGACCAUAUUGGCUAUACAGGCAGUGUCACAUGUGGCCACUCAACUGACCUUUCCAUAGAGUUCAAGUUAUAGACUAGAAUGCGUCUGAGGCUGUCUCCGGAAUACACAGCCAUGGUGCCGCCAUUGCUUCAAGCCGAUGAUUGCACACACUUCACUUCUACCCAAUUUCCGUUUUUCUCCGUCGGAUAGUAGAGUCAGGAAAUCGGGUAGGGGUAAAGUGUGCAGUCGUUGGCUUGAAGCAGUGGCGGUACCAAGGCCCUGUAUCCUGGAGGCAGCCUCAGACGCAUUCUAGUACAGAACUUGAAUUCUAUGGAAAGUACUGCUUUGACAAGUCACUGACUGGCCACGUGUGGUGCUGCCUGUAUAGCCAAUACAGUCCAUUUUAAGUGCCACUGGUUGUUGGCUUCGUAGUGGGAAAACGGGGAAGGGUGUUGAUUAUCUUUAAAGACUGCCUGUUGAGCAUUGCACCGAACUUCUGCUGCUAUUAUGGUUAUCUGUUCAGCAUACCAGCAUCGUACCAUUGAACCUCCCAUCGGGUAGAACAACUGCAAAGGUAACGUGAUGUAAGUUACAAUUAAUUAGAAAUAAUACUGUUCAGCAAUUUCUAAAGGAUACUUGUUUUCACAAUUCAAAGGGAUGUAGCAAUGGUUAUAUGCCUUUCCUGGGAUGCAGAAGGGAGGAUUGGGAACGUAAUGAUUUAUUUAUAGGUGCCACAUCUAAGGAACACCCGUUUUUGGCCUGGCUUCCCUCUUGGUGGUGAAGGUUAUUCCCAAGCUAACCAGCCAUUGUUGCACCUGGAAUCGUAUAAUGGCAAGCGGCAGGGAGGUAAAUACACAAGAAAGCUAAUACUAACUUUUGACGGCAGUAGUUUAUUGGAAAUUAAUUUGCAUCUUCAAUGCGGAGAAAAGUACUAGGUAUUCCUAUGCAAUAAAUGCAAUCUUGUAGCAUUUUGGCUUUAUGGCAAUUCAAUACUAAGUGAAAGAUUAAUUGAAUAUGGCUGAGGACAGGUUACUCUAUGCACAGCUUAACUCGUUGAUAAGUUAUGCUUUGUGCUCAAUUAACAAGGUUUUAGUCUUGACACUUAGAUGAUGACUUGUUCAUGCAUGUCAGUUGAAUAAUUUUUCUGUUUUGAAUGCUUGCCAACAGUAUACAGGAUUUUCCUUCCUAAAGCACCCUGAAGGAACAUGUAAAUUGAUGCUCUACAUCAGAGGUGUCUCGUUUUAACUAGUGAGGUAUGACCAGAACUGUAUCGAUAUGGCUCUGGUCAUUUUAUAUAGUAUGGCUUGUUUCAUUGUGAAGGUUCAUUUUCAUUUGACAAUGUCUGCUCAUGGUAUGUAGUGCAUGAUGACAGGUAACUUAGCUUAGGAAACAUUAAUGAGUACUUACAGUCCGGGCUGUUGCAUCUGGUGUUUCAUACUGUGCAGUUUUACUUCAGUUAGUCUCCAGUACUGUCUGCACGUAGAGGUGAGCCACUGUGAUGCAGUUACUCAGUUUAUUAUGAAAUUUAUAAAAUGAUAGUCUGCAUUUGCCAGUUUUGCAUUAAUCUGUAAACUUGUGAAAUAAUUUUAAUAUUAGGCAAAGCCUUGCUAAGGAGCCACAUUGUUCCUCCUAACUCCCCACCCUGCUCAUGUGGGAAUUGGGGUCACAUUUAAUGGAAGACAAAACAUUAUUUUGAGGUUAGGCAUACUGUACUGAUUUAUGGUGUAUCCCUUGGCAUUUUGAAUAUGGUUUAACCUUUGAUGAAGAUUAGCUUGAGCUGAAAAGUCUUAUGCUGUGUGAGGGGGCAUGUAUGCACCUUUUUCCAAUUUGUUCAUUUGUCUAACAUUUCAUCUGGAUAUAGCACUGGCUCUGUGCAAAUGUUUUUUGAUGCUAAAUGACUUGCAUAGUUAUAAAGGAAUGAUAUCAGUUUAACAGUAAUUGUCUGCUUACUGAGUAGUAGCACUGGUGUUGGUGGUGUGCUUUCAGCUGUUGGCUUUGGCAAAUACUUGACUUUGAAAACUGGAUAAGUACAUGACACAUUAUCCCAAACAUAAGGAAUUAGUAGAUCAGUGCUAUAUAAAUUUACUUGGUAUACUCACCUUGUUUGCCACUACAAUGCCUAACAAACAACAAUUCAAGCAAAGUUCAGAUUCGGGCCGAUUUCCAUAGAUUGUAGUGAGGUUGGGGAGGGGGGGGCACAAUUCACAUGUUUCUUUUCAGGCUCGUCCUGAACUAAGGUUUCUUCUUGAAAAUACAACUUGCGUCUGAUCCAUGUUGCAGCAGGCGAGGUAAUCUUGGAGUUGCUUUGUAAUUGUUGCUACAAUGGUGUUUUGUGAAGUGUUGAUUGCAUAUUAAUUUUAUUUAGGGUUGAAAGUCUAUACAUUAAGUACGUGAGGGUGGGAGGGGGGCAAUUUGAUUUUUAUUUCCACAGUUUGAAUUUCAUCGUGAUCGUCACUUGUUCAUCGUUUACUCUUUCGUCAUAAUGAGGUAACCAGUUGUUCAGUUUAUGGAUGCAUAAAACAUUGAUAUUUUCAAUAUUAAGUGAAGAAAAGUAUAAGGAGAUUUAAAGUGAAUGUAACUUGUAAUUUAAAGCUUAAAUGGGGAGGGUGUUAAAUGUUCUACAUAUCUAAUGUGUAUUCGGAACUUCAAAAUAUCAAUCCAGCACAGAUAGGAGGGUGAGGGGCAACUAAAAGGUAUCUUUUCAGUUCCCAGAAGUUAUUGCUGUGGCUGGAUUUACCCCAUAUUAAUUGGUUAUUGCUUCAAAUAAGGUAACCAGUGUUGACAGUAUACUUCAUUUAGGAUUUAGGAGGUACAAAUCUUUCAAUGAUUGAAAAUCAUUCAAAAGCCUGUGUCAGUUUCAGUGUCAUUAACAAAAACUUUAAAUGAUCAGCACCAAUAGGAGGGAAAGAUAUUAUUCUUGGGGGUGGGGUAGAACUAAUUGUCUUUUCAGACUUUCGACUUCAUUAACGCAACAUUGCUACGAAUGAGGUAACCAGCUUUGUACUGAUGAAAAAAUACUUGACUAUCUUUUGGAAAAUUUAUCCUAAAUUUGUGGGUGCACACGGGAGGGUAAUUUUUUGAGGGGUGGGCGGGGCAACUAAGUGUUUCUUUUGAGAUUUACAGAUGUUUAUUUGUUCAUUAUUGACUACAGUAAACAUCAAUUGAGAAAAACUCCAAUUGAGGUAACUAGUAUUGUUAAUGUUCUACUUGACUUGCUUGGAUGGGACUAAUUCCUGCAUUUGGAGAUGGGGUGUGACCAUUGUUUUUCAGACUUGGGGAAUUUUCAUUUGCUCAGUAUGGUUUUAUUGUACAUUCAAUUCUCAGAAUAGUAUUGAAUGGUUAAUCCACUUGAUUUCAUUAACUGACAUCUAUUGAAUUAGCUCAGAAUCUAAUGUCUUCUGGCAUUCAGUAAUUGAAUGGAGUUCCUUUACUCAAUGAGAUUACCACUUAUUUAAUUGGUCUGAUUUACUGUGGAUUUACUAGGGAAUUCAAAUUCUAAAAGUUACGAUUAAAAUAUUUAGUAGAUCUUGCAUAGAUUUUACAUUGCUACUUUUUCUUUGGGGGGGGGGGGGCAACUAAUGCUGUCUUUUCAGGCUGGCAUGGACAUAACACUUGUUCAACAUUUGCUUUGCUCUACAUCUUUUAAUUAGUUUCUCCUAGAAGGUAACCUGUUUUCCGCCUGUGUUGAUGAUGUAUAAUUUUAUUACCAAAUUUAGUUCUGUGCUGAAAAUAUAGUUUAAAAAAAUGAACUUAUAAUUGAGAAGAUGAUUUGGGGGACAGGGGGUGUGGCAGCUAAACAUGUCUUUUCAGAAUUCUCUGGUUUCAUAAAUACAACAUAUUCACUGAACAUCCCGUAGUUGCUCCAGAUAAGGUAACUCCUGAUAAUUUUUUUCUCUGGUAUUUCAGUAGCAACAAGUUCUAUGAAUAUAACUGAAAUUUUACACAAAUAAUGGAAGGGCAACAUUUUGGGGGGUGGACGGGUGGGGGCAACUAAGUCUUGUCUUUACAAUUCUUCAGAGACAUCAUUUGCUCAGCAGUGGAUUUAUUAUUCAUCCCAUUUAUUGCUCCAAAUGAGGUAAAAGUUUCAUAUUUAAUCUCAGUUUUAGAUUCCCAGUAACUUAAAUAACAUGAAGAUUGAGAACUCAAAGGAUUCUGUUUAGUAUGUAAAAAAAAUAAUAAUUUCACAAGUUUUAGUAUGAUCAAACUAUCAUGCUCUUUAUGGAUUUUGUUGACGAUCAAACUGCCUCAUUAAAUAAAUUUUUAACUACCACAUUAAAGCAGUUAAUUGAUUUUGAAUUUAAAUAACUAAAUGUUGGUAGUAGAUAGGUAGGAUGUUUAUUUGUAGGUGCUUGAGGAGUAGAGGAUGCAGCAUUCGGUGGGAAAAGUAGCACCAUUUGGCCAAUGACUUCAGUGUUAAUAAGAUUUGCACUACCUACAUUCAGUGAAGAUUCUUGACCUACAUUGUUAGGUGUUCUUUUAUUGUUGAAAAUAGUACUGCUUAUAUAUAAAUAAGUUUGUAAUGGUAAAGAUUUAAAUAAUGUUACAGGAACUAUAUUAUUGCUAUUACUAUGUGAUGGUAGUUAAAAGACAAGCAUGAGAUACUUAAACUUGCCUGUGAAUAUGAUGUUAAUGAUGUCAUGUUGCCAUACAUUGCAUAUAGAAAUAUUCAGUUGCUUUGGAAGUUGCCCAUUUGUUAUUGGGAAAAAAAACUCAAGCAUUUAGGAAAAAAACAUUAUCAUAAACACUGUGAACUUAGAGGAAAUGGAGCUUUGAAUUAUCAUAUUUGUUCAUAUCAAGUUUAUCAUUGUCAUAUAGACUGAUAAUUCAGUUGCUGGUCACUCUUCUCUCAGCUGUAUAGUGGCUAUCAAGAAGAGUGGGAAAGUGGGUGGGGCAUUUCCUCUAAGUAAAAAUUAAGUAAUUUAUAAACUAGCAUCGUUCAAGGAAUGUGUCACCGGCAUCAUCUUCAGGAGCAUUUAUCUAGUCUAGGAUUGUAUUGAAGGGGAGGUAGCUGAAGGACUGAUUAGCUGAAGGACUGAUAGUUAUCGUCAAGGAGAGGGAGAGAAGAUGAAAUCUAGCAUUAUAGCUGUCUGAUAUCCAUUAUAUUAAGGUAA